GACGAACGCUGGCGGCGUGCUUAACACAUGCAAGUCGAACGGAAAGGCCUGCUUUCCCUUGUGGAUUGCGGGUACUCGAGUGGAGAACGGGUGAGUAACACGUGAGUGAUCUGCCCCCAACUUGGGUAUAAGCCUGGGAAACUGGGUCUAAUUCCCGAUAGGACUGCAGGGUGGUGCCUGUGGUGGAAAACGAUUUUCUAGUGGUUGGGGAUGAGCUCGCGGCCUAUCAGCUUGUUGGUGGGGUAAUGGCCUACCAAGGCGGCGACGGGUAGCCGGCCUGAGAGGGUGGACGGCCACAUUUGGACUGAGAUACGGCCCAGACUCCUACGGGAGGCAGCAGUGGGGAAUAUUGCACAAUGGGCGGAAGCCUGAUGCAGCGACGCCGCGUGGGGGAUGACGGCCUUCGGGUUGUAAACUCCUUUCGACCGCGAGGAAGCCACCUGGUUGGAAGGGUGGUGACGGUAGUGGUAGAAGAAGCACCGGCUAACUACGUG
rnacentral:rRNA from 1 species